UGAGGAAUAUUGGUCAAUGGGCGGAAGCCUGAACCAGCCAAGUCGCGUGAGGGAAGACGGUCCUAUGGAUUGUAAACCUCUUUUGCAGGGGAGCAAGGCGCGGUACGUGUACCGUGCUGGAGAGUACCCUGAGAAAAAGGCAUCGGCUAACUCCGUGCCAGCAGCCGCGGUAAUACGGAGGAUGUGAGCGUUAUCCGGAUUUAUUGGGUUUAAAGGGUGCGUAGGCGGACUGGUAAGUCAGCGGUAAAAAUUGCGGUGCUCAACGCCGUAGUGCCGUUGAAACUGCCGGUCUUGAGUGAGCGAGAAGUAUGCGGAAUGCGUGGUGUAGCGGUGAAAUGCAUAGAUAUCACGCAGAACUCCGAUUGCGAAGGCAGCAUACCGGCGCUCAACUGACGCUGAGGCACGAAAGCGUGGGGGAUCGAACAGGAUUAGAUACC
rnacentral:rRNA from 1 species